rnacentral:rRNA from 1 species
UGGGGAAUUUUGGACAAUGGGGGAAACCCUGAUCCAGCCAUCCCGCGUGUGCGAUGAAGGCCUUCGGGUUGUAAAGCACUUUUGGCAGGAAAGAAACGUCAUGGGUUAAUACCCCGUGAAACUGACGGUACCUGCAGAAUAAGCACCGGCUAACUACGUGCCAGCAGCCGCGGUAAUACGUAGGGUGCAAGCGUUAAUCGGAAUUACUGGGCGUAAAGCGUGCGCAGGCGGUUCGGAAAGAAAGAUGUGAAAUCCCAGAGCUCAACUUUGGAACUGCAUUUUUAUCUACCGGGCUAGAGUGUGGCGGAGGGAGGUGGAAUUCCGCGUGUAGCAGUGAAAUGCGUAGAUAUGCGGAGGAACACCGAUGGCGAAGGCAGCCUCCUGGGAUAACACUGACGCUCAUGCACGAAAGCGUGGGGAGCAAACAGG